UACAAAAGUUUUUUCAGACCAGACAGAAUGGGCCUCGAGUGCGAAGGCAAAAUGGAGUCUAAUUACAAGACACAUCCGUCGAGCAGGGACGAAAGUCAACCUUAGU
rnacentral:rRNA from 1 species